rnacentral:rRNA from 1 species
CCUACGGGUGGCAGCAGUCGAGAAUCUUUCACAAUGGGGGAAACCCUGAUGCUGCGACGCCGCGUGGAGGAAUGCAGGUCUUCGGAUGUUAAACCCCUGUCAUGUGGGAGAAAGUUAAAAAGAUAGUACCACAAGAGGCCGAGACGGCUAACGAUGUGCCAGCAGCCGCGGUACGACAGAGGGCGCAAGCGUUCUCCGGAAUCAGUGGGCGAAGGGGGUGCGGAGGCGGCUUAGGAAGUCGUGUGUGAAAGGCGGGGGCACAACCCGCGGACGGCACAUGCUACUGCGUGACUAGAGUAAAGGAGGGGGAAGCGGAAUUCUUGGUGUAGCAGUGAAAUGCGUAGAUA